AGCUAUUGCCAGCGUCAAGCA
rnacentral:miRNA from 1 species